rnacentral:rRNA from 1 species
GCAAGUCGAACGGUCUUAUUUCGAUAAGAUAGUGGCGAACGGGUGAGUAACGCGUAGGUGACCUACCUUAAGGCGGGGGACAACUCCGGGAAAUCGGGGCUAAUACCGCGUAAGCUCUCGAGUCAAAUUGAGAGUGAAAGUCCUUCGGGACGCCUUUGAGGGGCCUGCGUUCGAUUAGCUUGUUGGUGGGGUAAAGGCCUACCAAGGCUGAGAUCGAUAGCUGGUCUGAGAGGAUGAUC